rnacentral:lncRNA from 1 species
CCGCCGCGCCGACGCCCGUGACGUCAGCCGCCCGGCUCCAUUUGAGCGCCUCUCGGCAGCCGAGAACUCGGACUUCCCGUGUGGCUCACAACAUAACUACUCGGCGUUGCUUCUACAGUGGCUGUGGCUCGACCCCUAGCCUGGGAACCUCCAUAUGCCGCAGCCCCGCGGCGGCAGAUGGCACUCGUUCUGCCGCUUUUUCCUGGCUGUGUGCGAUGCCAUCGCAUGGAUGUCCCCGGGCCUUCGAAGUGCACUCACCUGUCAGUGGACCUUUAGGUGGCUUCCAGAUCUUGGCUCUGGUGAGUAGUGCGGCGACAGACAGAGGGGUGCCCGGGUCUGCUUCCGGGAAAGUUUGGUCCCGGUGAAAUGGAGCUGUUUGGAGGCCGGCUUCGGUCUUUGUGUGGGCCGGCCCGUGUAGGGCUGCUUGGCUGAGACUCUGUCGAGGAGGGAGGCCUUCAGCCACCGGGGCCUCACGGGGCCUCCCCGUGCGGCACCAUCACAGAGCUCUCCGUCACUGCCCCUGGUGGGGGUGAGGGAAGGGGCGUGUUUGGGGGGUGG